rfam:Mus musculus chromosome 3, GRC primary reference assembly.
GCCGGGCAUGGUGGUGUACGCCUUUAAUCCCAGCACUCAGGAGGCAGAGGCAGGCAGAUUUCUGAGUUCGAGGCCAGCCUGGUCUACAAUGUGAGUUCCAGGACAGCCAGGGCUAUACAGAGUGUCUUUUUUUUUUUUUUUUUUUUUGGUUUUUCGAGACAGGGAUUCUCUGUGUAGUGUAGCCCUGGCUGUCCUGGAACUCACUUUGUAGACCAGGCUGGCCUCGAACUCAGAAAUCCGCCUGCCUCUG